GUGCCAGCCGCCGCGGUAAUACGGAGGGUGCAAGCGUUACUCGGAAUCACUGGGCGUAAAGCGCGCGCAGGCGGCCUUUUAAGUUGGAUGUGAAAGCCUAUGGCUCAACCAUAGAACUGCAUCCAAAACUAUUAGGCUAGAGUGUGGGAGAGGAAGAUGGAAUUAGUUGUGUAGGGGUAAAAUCCGUAGAGAUAACUAGGAAUACCAAAAGCGAAGGCAAUCUUCUGGAACAUUACUGACGCUGAGGCGCGAAAGCGUGGGGAGCAAACAGGAUUAGAUACCCUGGUAGUCCACGCCCUAAACGAUGAAUGUUAGUCGUCGGGUAGCUAGUCUAUUCGGUGAUGCAGCUAACGCAUUAAACAUUCCGCCUGGGGAGUACGGUCGCAAGAUUGAAACUCAGAGGAAUGGACGGGGACCCGCACAAGUGGUGGAGCAUGUGGUUUAAUUCGAAGAUACGCGAAGAACCUUACCUAGCCUUGACAUAUAUUAGAACUCAGCAGAGAUGCAGAGGUGCCUUCGGGAGCUUUUAUACAGGUGCUGCACGGCUGUCGUCAGCUCGUGUCGUGAGAUGUUGGGUUAAGUCCCGCAACGAGCGCAACCCUCGUCACUAGUUACUAACGGUUCGGCCGAGGACUCUAGUGAGACUGCCUUCGUAAGGAGGAGGAAGGUGAGGACGACGUCAAGUCAUCAUGGCCCUUACGGCCAGGGCUACACACGUGCUACAAUGGGGCGUACAGAGAGCUGCAAUACCGCGAGGUGGAGCC
rnacentral:rRNA from 1 species